rnacentral:rRNA from 1 species
CUCCGGUUGAUCCCGCCGGACCCGACUGCUAUCAGAGUGAGAUUAAGCCAUGCGAGUUAACGUAGCAAUACGUGGCGCACGGCUCAGUAACACGUAGUCAACAUGCCCAGAGGACGUGGAUAACCUCGGGAAACUGAGUCUAAACCGCGAUAAGUGAGGAUUUCUGGAAUGGUUCCUGACUAAAAUCUAUAUGGCCCCUGGAUUGGACUGCGGCCGAUCAGGCUGUUGGUGAGGUAAUGGCCCACCAAACCUGUAACCGGUACGGGCUCUGAGAGGAGGAGCCCGGAGAUGGGCACUGAGACAAGGGCCCAGGCCCUAUGGGGCGCAGCAGGCGCGAAACCUCUGCAAUAGGCGAAAGCUUGACAGGGUUACUCUGAGUGAUUUCCGUUAAGGAGAUCUUUUGGCACCUCUAAAAAUGGUGCAGAAUAAGGGGUGGGCAAGUCUGGUGUCAGCCGCCGCGGUAAUACCAGCACCCCGAGUGGUCGGGACGUUUAUUGGGCCUAAAGCAUCCGUAGCCGGUUCUACAAGUCUUCCGUUAAAUCCACCUGCUUAACAGAUGGGCUGCGGAAGAUACUAUAGAGCUAGGAGGCGGGAGAGGCAAGCGGUACUCGAUGGGUAGGGGUAAAAUCCGUUGAUCCAUUGAAGACCACCAGUGGCGAAGGCGGCUUGCCAGAACGCGCUCGACGGUGAGGGAUGAAAGCUGGGGGAGCAAACCGGAUUAGAUACCCGGGUAGUCCCAGCUGUAAACGAUGCAGACUCGGUGAUGAGUUGGCUUAUUGCUAACUCAGUGCCGCAGGGAAGCCGUUAAGUUUGCCGCCUGGGGAGUACGGUCGCAAGACUGAAACUUAAAGGAAUUGGCGGGGGAGCA